rnacentral:rRNA from 1 species
AGCGAACGCUGGCGGCAGGCCUAACACAUGCAAGUCGAACGGACCCUUCGGGGUUAGUGGCGGACGGGUGAGUAACACGUGGGAACGUGCCUUUAGGUUCGGAAUAGCUCCUGGAAACGGGUGGUAAUGCCGAAUGGGCCCUUCGGGGGAAAGAUUUAUCGCCUUUAGAGCGGCCCGCGUCUGAUUAGCUGGUUGGUGAGGUAACGGCUCACCAAGGCGACGAUCAGUAGCUGGUCUGAGAGGAUGACCAGCCACACUGGGACUGAGACACGGCCCAGACUCCUACGGGAGGCAGCAGUAGGGAGUCUUGCGCAAUGGGCGAAAGCCUGACGCAGCCGUGCCGCGUGAAUGAUGAAGGUCUUAGGAUUGUAAAAUUCUUUCACCGGGGACGAUAAUGACGGUACCCGGAGAAGAAGCCCCGGCUAACUUCGUG